CCAUAAGUAUUUUUUCCUCUCGUUUUGCUCGCUGAGUUGCCUUCGUCUAUCUCAGCGCAAGAAUCAGCGCAAAAGAAGACGGGGACCCCGUGUUUUAUCAGAUCGCCCUUCUAUUUUUUUUCUCUUGCUGCG
ensembl:ncRNA Y70D2A.5 ncRNA